GACCUGGUGGUGAAUGGCUCAUACCCACUUUACUUACAUUUCGCGAGCGAGACAGAAUAUGGUGGGUGUCCCUGGGUCGAAUCCAGGCCAGGUCG